CAAAAACAUACCUGAGAGAGGGUAAUUUAAAUGGAAAAAAGAUUAAUGGACUCACAGUUCCACAUGGCUGGGGACACUUCACAAUCAUGACAGAAGGCGAAAGGCAAGUCUCACAUAACAGAUCAAAAUGGGCAAGGUUUAGCAGCUCCAUCAUCUUUCUUUGAGAACACUCGACCGGUGGAGUAAGAAUGCCUCAAGUAAGCACGUGUAAGAUUCCAGACAUCGCACUGUGUAUGCCACACACCCCGCCCAAAGAGCUCACUGGCCGCUGCACUGGUGAACAGCCCCACUCAAGGGAAGGAUCAGGGCAGAGGCAAUGACGCCAACUCAGAAGCAUGCCAAUGAAGGAGAAUCCAAGUCAAAAAUAAUACCAUGAACUCGAUUCAUCAAGUCACCCACUACACCCUCUUCCAACUGUAUCUUGCUUCCAUUCCUUCCUGCUCCAAAGUGUUGAAGAAGCUAUCACUCCUACUCUUAAUCUAACUGUCCUGUUAUGCCCUAGCAACAACUUCUCACAAGCCUUUUGGGGCAGUCUGAACAGCUGUCAGGAUAGAGCCUAGUACUGUGGCCCUUUAAAGACCCCACCUACUUGCUCGUUUCCAGUCAUUGCCCCUCUGGGAAGAGGGAAGAUUCUUCCUUCACCCAGGGUGAGUUUUCACCCCUAACCACAAGUGCUCCAGAGUUUACUACCUUAUGUAAACAAGACAUUAAAUGUAAACCUCUCAUUUCCACUGUUUGCCAUGACAUCAUCUCAGGUGUUCCUGGCGCCCACCAGGCAAUCUCCCGAAGCACUCCUUCUGCUGUCCAUGCAAUGUUCUUAAGUCUUCUUUCUGCCCAGUGUGCAAUCUUCCUGGAUGGCCCUUCUGUCACACGUUCACGUCUGACAGAGGUUUCUUCUGCCAAACACUGAAUCUUCUCGGACGUUCUUCUGCCAAAUGUGCAAUCCUGUCAGACAUUCCAGUCACUCUAGGUAACUGGUCUGACAUAAGCAGGGUAUGAGGGGCUUCCCCCACCACCACGAGAAAUGUCAGACAACCAUUAGAUGACGGCCAGGCAGUUGUUGAAAUGUUUCUAUGGAAGAAAACCAUUCGCAGCCUGCCGGUGCCAAAAAAGGGCAGCCUCCCAAAGAACAAAAGAGCCGGAAGGUGGACAUCAGCAGCUUCCCAGUAAAAUCCCAGGACUCGGGCACAUGGGCUAAUGCGGGACACCCUGCCAGCCACACCGGCAGGGCUGAGCAGCUCAGUCUCCUUCCUCUGAGAUCAGUCGACAGGUAGGGGAAGAACGCCUCAAGUGAGCAUGCCUAAGACUAGGAACCGCACUGUGCCUGCAACGCCCCCCGCCCACGGUCUGACAGGCCGUGGUGCCAGUCGACAGCCCCACCCGAAGGAAGGAUCGGCAGAGAGGCAACAACGCCACCCCGGAAGCCUGCUAAUGGAGGAGAUCCAGAAUCGAAGGUCAAACCCUGCACUCCAUCCCUCAGGUUGCCCGCUUCGCCCUCUUCCAACUGUAUCUCACUUCCUUUCCUUCCUGCUCCAAAGUGCUGAAGCAGCUUUCACUCCUGCUCUUCACUGUGCCUUCCUCUUACACCCCAGGACCAACUUCUCAGGGGGCUUUUGGGGCAGUCUGUACCGACACCUGCAUAGGGCCUCGUUCUGUGGCCCUUUAGGGACCCCACCUUCAUGCUCAUUUCCAGUCAGUGCCCCUCUGGGAACAGGGAAGACUCUUCCUUCAAUCCAGCUGUGUUUUUGCCCCAGGCCACAAGUGCUCCAGAGGUGACUACCUUAUGUCAGGUUGACAUUGAACGUGGCCCUCUUGAGUCCGAGGGCAGCUCUUUUGGCGAGUGCAGCAAGGCUUUCCAUGAGUCUUCCUCUCUCGCUUCCUCCCACUUCUGCCUGUAGCCUGGAUUUCUCUACUCGUGGCCAUGCCCUUCUCCAGAUGCUUCCAAGCCUUCCAGGUCCACUCUGAAGGGAGAAAUUUCCAGCCCCCUUGUGGCAGCUAGCUGAAAAACAGGCUCCUCGUCUACUGUGAGAACCUGGGAAGCGGGAAUCAGACAGUGGAGAUCAUCAUUGUCUUGCUGGAACGCUCUCAGGCACAGUCACUCUCAUUUCACAGAGACAAGGACAGAGGCCGGACCAAGGCCACAGGCGCAACAGACCCAUAGCACCCAGACCCAAACUGAUCUCCGGCUAACACACGGCCAUUAGAGCAGGGAGGAAGGCAAGGGCAGGGGUACAUGGUAACACUGGUUCAUUCUGGGACCCUGGGGAUGAACGGGGCUCCCCUGACCCUGUUCACUCUAGCACCUCCUCUCUUCUGCAGUGGGUGAUCAUGACGAGAUGGGACCAGGGUUGGCAGGGACACAGUAAGAACGAGACAUCCCGGAGCCCUAAGGACGAAUGGCGGAUACCCUACUCAGGAUCCUGGGAAAGUUCACAGAGCCUAAGCAUGUUGGAGACGGUCCUUGUAGCCAACAGAAACGUUCCUGAAACGGGAUCCGGGAAAGAAACGCCAUGCGGUUUGAAAGGUUGUUAGGUCUGUUAAAUGCUUCCGGAAUCAAUGCUUUACCGGAGGUCAGUCGGGACCAUUUGCUUACACGUCAUCUCUGACUGCUUCCACGCUACUACGGCAGGCUUCAGCAGACACGACAGAGACCACGGGGCCUACGAGUGCUUCCCACCUGGCCCUUUACAGGAAGAGCUGGCCAAUCCCUGUGUCACACCGUGACCGGAAAGCCCUAAUACUCACCGCUCAUCUUCUGACUCCCCUGCUCAAAAGCUUCCCAUGAUUUUCUGCAGGAAACCUGGCUGGCUCCCUAUCCACGGAAUUUCUUUCUUCUUUCUCGCUGGAGAAAUGCAAGGUUAUCGUGAUCUUUAUCACUCCCUCAACCCACCCCAGCUCCCGAAGGAGGAAUGAUCAUUCUAAGCUCAUCACAGCAAUCACAUGGUUUUCCCCAGUGACCGGCUUAGCAGUCGGCAUGUGCUGUAACCCAGCCCAUACGAUGUUACCAGAAGUUCACCGCGAGCUGCUGACUUGACUGCCUCUUCAAAAGACACCUGGGAAGAAAAGCAACCCCUCCAGCCUUCGGAUACUGCCUUCAGAGAACACACCAACUGCAGCUGUUGCUACUCGGCCCGCCAGCAAAGCAGACAUGAACUAAACACUGCCCACAGCACAGCUGGAAGGGAAAACAUGAGCAUGACACGACGAUGCUGACACAAUUCUGGUGCCUAUGGCUUCAGCCGCUCUUACUUGGGUCAUCUACUAUUUACAGCCACGAGCAUCCUGAGAAUGUGGCCGUGGCCCACAGAAUAUAUCCUCUACCCCUUCUGCUCUGGACCGCUCAAAAAUCUACCCUCAGCUCGCCUUUUCUAGACAUUCAAACCACACCCAACCAUUCCCGUACCACACUCUUGCCACCAGCAACACUGAGCUGCUCUCGAACCCGACAGAGUUCACGCGAGCCUCUGACCUUUGGAACUUGCCAUUCCUUCGGGCAAGCAGGCAAUCUUUUCCCGAUGCUCCUGCGAAUCCUGCGACCUUCUCAGACGUUCUCUCCACCAUACCUGUUCUCUCCGUUCCACCCUGCCAGAUGUCUAUUCGGACAAAACGUUCCGUCUUCUCGCAUGUCUCCUCUGCCAAACCACGGAUCCCGUCACAUGGCUCUUCUGCAAAACAUUCGAUCUCGUCAGAUGUGUCUUCCGCCAACCACUCCAUCCUGCCAGAUGUUUCUGUGUUACCGUGGGCGGCUGGUCAGACAGGAGCAGCGCGGGAGAGGGCCACGCCCACACCCCACCAGACACAUCAGGCGACCAGGAGGCGACGGGUCAGGCUGCCAUUAAACUACCUGUCUCAAAUAAUAAAUGAUUGCCGGGAGCCGGUGCCAGGGACGGGCGGUCCCCCAGACAGACAGAAACCCCGGAAGGUGGCGAUUAGCAGCUCCCUGAGAAGAUCUCAGGGGGCGCGUGACGGGGCUCAUGCUUGCACACUCACAGGCAAACCGGCCGGGUUUUACUGUCCUACGACCCUCCCCAGGCAACAUCCGACUGCCAAGGGAGGCACGCCUCAUGUGAGCGCCCCUAUGACUCCAGGAAACACGCCACGCCUGCGGUCCCUCCCAGGUGAUGACAGGCCACUGCCCAUGUGGAUGGCCCACCCUGAGAAAAGGCUCAGGGGAGGAAGCAAUGCAACCCCUGGCUCUUGGAAGCCUGCCAAUGUGUGAGACCUCGCCUCAAAGGUCGAACAAAGCGUGCCCCCGACCUCUCCAGUUGCCCACAUGGCCCUCUUCCAAGUAUACCUUACUGCCUCGUCUUUCUGCUCUGGUACCAUCUGGGAGACCUGCACUCCUGCGCUCAAACAGGCCUCGGUCUCUUUCACUCCGCCUCACGCCCCUCAGUUAAACUCCCUCUGAUGAGGUGAGAGCUCGGGUUGCUGCCUGCAGGCCCCUAUGGAUCUGCCACCGCUGACAUCCCUACCGCCAAACGCUCCAUCUUGGUGGAUGUUUUCUCUCCCAGAUGUUCCCUCUUUCCAGAUGCUUCCUUUGCAAGCCACGCACUCUUCCUAGGCAUUCCGUCUGCCCACCAUGGAAUCUGCUCAGAGGUUCCUUCUGCCCACCGUGCGACCUGCUAAAGGGUUUCUGCUGUCUACCAUGUCAUCUUCACACUUGGGCCUUCUGCCAAACGUGCAAUCUACCUGAGGGUUCCCUCUGCCAAACAGCCAGUUGCGUCCACUUCUUCCCCUGACAAGCAUUCAGUUUUGUCUGGCGCACCAUGGGCCCAAUACUUCCUCUACCCAGAUGUCUCUUGGGCAGGCCUUGCAAUCUCCCUAGGGCAUCCAACUGCUGAUCCCGCAGUCUUCUCACGGGUUCCCUUGCCCCCCAGCACCCCUGCAAUCACCCUACCCUAAGGUUUCCUCCUGCUGACCAUGCGAUGUUCUUAGCCGUUCCUUCUGAAAUCGCUGCAGUCUGCUUAGAUGUUCCCUCUGCCACACGCUCAGGGCUGUCAGAUGUUCCUUCCACCAGACACUCCAUCUCGUCGGAUGAUCUGCCACGCGUUCAAUCCUGUCAGGUGUCCCUCUCAGUCACACGUGUGGAGCGGGGCCCGAGAGGGUUCCCCACCACCAGUAAACAUCAGGCAGCCACAAGGUGAUGGCCCGGUGGUCACGAAGCAGACUCUCUAGAGAAAUCACUGAUCACAGGCAGCACCAGGGAAAGGCAGUCCCCCUCCCCGACAGCAGUCACGAACCUCAGAAGCCUCCCCAGCACACCUCGGGAGUUGGGUGAAUGGGCUCAUACGUGCACCCUGAGAGGCAAACUGGUGGAAGGUUCACUGAUCUGGGAUGUUUUCCCCUGGGCACAUUCAUCUGCUUGUGGGACGAACGCCUCAAGAGAGCAUGAGAACAACUCCAGUAAGCACACGGCGCCUCCGCGCCCCCAUGAGAUGGUGACAGGCCACUGUGCUAGUGAACAGCCCCCUCUUCCCCGCCGAGGGAAGCAUCAGAGGACAGGCAGCGAUGCUGCCGACGCGGGAGACCCUGAGUCCAAGGUCCAGUCCUGUACUCCACCUCUCAGGUCACCGCCCACCUGGGCCUCUUCCAAGCCUCCUUGACUUCCUUUGGCUCCUGCCACGAUACCAUUUCAGGAACUUUCGCCCCUGCUCUAAUGCGUGCCUCGGUCUCUCACUCUACCGUGUGCCACUCGAUGUCUUUCUUCUCAGGAGGCAGGAACCGAGGUUGCCACAGGCCCAUACGCGUCUGUCGCCGCUCACGGGCCUGCUGCCAAACGUGGAAUCUUGCCCAAUGUGUCCUCUGCCAGACAUGCCAUCUCUUCAGAUGCUUCUUUCGCAGGCCACGCGCUUGCAAGCUUCCUAUGUUUUCCUCCCCACCGCUGUGCCAUCGGCUGCAAUUUUUCUGCUGUCCACCAUGGCAACCUUCUCACGUGUUCCUUCUGCCACACAUGCAAUCUCCCUACCGUGCGACCUGCUAAAGGCUUUCUGCUGUCUUCCAUGUCAUCUUCACACUUGGGCCUUCUGCCCAACGUGCAAUCUACCUGAGUGUUCCUUCUGCCAAACAGCCAACUGCGUCCAUUCCUUCCCCUGACAAGUGCUCAGUAUUAUCCGGCGCACCGUGGGCCCAAUACUUCCUCUUCCCAGAUGUCUCUCGGGCAGGCCUUGCAAUCUGCCUAGGGUGUCCAACUGCCGAUCCCUCAGUCUUCUCAUGGGUUCCCUUGCCCCACCAUACCCCUGCAAUCUUCCUACCCUAAGGUUUCCUCCUGCUGACCAUGUGAUGUUCUUAGCCAUUCCUUCCUAAAACACUGCAAUCUGCUUAGAUGUUCCCUCUGCCACAUGCUCAGGGCUGUCAGACGUUCCUUUCCCAGACACUCCAUCUCGUUUGAUGAUCUUCUGGCACACGUUCAAUCCUGUCAGGUGUCCCUCUCAGUCACACGUGCAGAGUGGGGCCCGAGAGGGUUCCCCACCACCAGAAAACAUCAGGUGGCUGCGAGGUGAUGCUCAGGUGUUCGUGAAGCAGACUCUCUAGAGAUAUCACUGGUCGCACGCGGCGCCAGGGAAAGGCAGCCCCGCCACCCCCCACAGCUAUCAGGAACGUCGGAAGCCUCUCCGGCAGACCUCGAGUGUCAGGUGAGUGGGCUCUCGUACGCACCCUGAGAGGCAAACUGGUGGGAGGUUCACUGCUUUACGACCUUUACCUCGGGCACAUUCGUCUGCUUACAGGAGGAACGCCUCAAGCGACCAUGCGAACAACUCCAGUGAGCACACGGCGCCUGCGCUGCCACCCGCACCCCCCCAAAAGGUGCUGACAGGCCACUGCGCCAGUGCACAGCACUGCCCUUCCCCCACCAAGGGAAGCAUCAGGGGACUGGCAGCGAUGCCGCCAGUGGGGGAGACCCCAAGUCCACAGUCCAGCCCUGCACUCCACCUCUCAGGUCGCUGCCCACCUGGGCCUCUUCCAAGCCUCCUUGACUUCCUUUGGCUCCUGCCACCAUACCAUUUCAGGAACUUUUGCCUCUGCUCUUAUGCGUGCCUCGGUCUCUCCCUCUGCCUUGUGCCCCUCAGUUGAUGACUUUCUUCUCAGGAGGCAGGAACCGAGACUGUCGCAGGCCCAUACGCAUCUGCCUCCGCUCAUGGGCCCACUGCCAAACGUGGAAUCUUGCCCGAUGUGUCCUCUCUCAGACAUGCCAUGGCUUCAGAUGCUUCUUUCGCAAGCCAUGCACUUCCAUGCUUCCUACGUUUUCCUCCCCACUGCCGUGCCAUCGGCUGCAACGUUUCUGCUGUCCGCCAUUCACCCUUCUCAUAUGUACCUUUGGCCACACGUGCAAUCUACCUAAGCAUCCCUUCUCCCAAACACUCCACUCUGUCCCUUGUUUCCCCUGGCAAGCAUCCCAUCUUCUCAGGUAUUUCUCCUGCCACAUAUUUAAUCGUCUUCAUAUGUUACCUUCCCAGGCCCUGCAUCCUUCCCAGCUCAUCCUCCCGCCCACCCCGCAAUCCUCUCAGAUGCUACCACCACCCCACCGGGCAAUCUCCCAAGGCGCUCCUUCUGCUGUCCGUCCAACGUUCUCAGGUCUUCCUUCUUCCCAGUGUGCAAUCUUCCUGGAUGGGCCUUCUGCCACACGUUCACAUCUGAUCUGGCAGGUGUUUCUUCUGCCAAACAUGCAAUCCUGUCAGACGUUCCUGUCACUCACGGUAGCUGGUCUGACGUGAGCAUGGUACCAGGGGGUCUCCCUACCUCCAUCAGGAAUGUCAGACCACCAUGAGGUGACUGUCACGUGGUUCUUGAACCCUAUCUAUGGAGGAAAACCGCUCACAGCCAGCCAGUGCCAAGGAAGGGCAGGCUCCCAAUGGACGGAAGCGCAGGAAAGUGGACAUCAGCAGCCUCCCUCUGAGAUCCCAGGAGUCAGGCAUGUGGGCUCACACAGGACCCCCUGACAGCCACACUGGCGGGGUUCAGCAGCUCUGUCUCCUUCCUCUGAGAACACUCGACAGGUAGAGGAUGUACACCUCAAGUGAGCACACCUAAGCCUCCAGGUAUGGCAUUGCGGCUGUCACACCCCCCGCCCACAAGCUGACAGGCCGCGAUGCCAGUCAACAGCCCCACCCAAGGGAAGGAUCAGUGGAGAGGCAACAAUGCCACCCCCAAAACCUACCAAUGGAGGAGACCCCAAGUCGAAGGUCAAACCCUGCACUCUGUCCCUUAGGUUGCCCGCUUCGCCCUCUUCCAACUGUAUCUUGCUUGCUUUCCUUCCUGCUCCAAAGUGCUGAAGCAGCUUUCACUCCUGCUCUUCACCCUGCCUUCCUCUUACGCCCCAGGGCCAACUUCUUAGGGGGCUUUUGGGGCAGUCUGUCCCACCACCUGCAUAGGGCCUCAUUCUGUGGCUCUUUGGGACCCCAUCUACUUGCUCAUUUCCAGUCAGCACCCCUCUGGGAAGAGCAAAGAUUCUUCCUUCACGCCAGGCGCGUUUUCACCCCAAGCCACAAGUGCUCCAGAGGUUACUACCUUUCUUCAGGUAGGCAUUAAACAUGGCCCUCUCGAGUGCGAGGGCAGCUCUUUUGGCGAGCGCAACAAGGCUUUCCAUGAGUCUUCCUCUCUCGCUUCCUCCUGCUUCAGUCUGUAGCCUGUUUCUCUACUCCCAGCCGCACCCUUCUCCAGAUGCUUUCAGACCUUCUAGGUCCUAUCUGAAGGGAGAAAUUUCCAGCUCCCUUGCAGCAGCUAGCUGAAAAACAGGCUCCUCGUCUAGUGUGAGAAUCUAGGAAACAGGAAUCAGACAGCAGAGAUCAUCAUUGUCUUGCUGGAAUGCUCUCAGCCACAGUCACUCUCAUGUCACAGACACAAGGACAGAGACCGGACCAAGGCCGCAGGCGCAACAGAUCCAUAGCACCGAGACAAAGGCUGAUCCCAGGCUAACACAUGACCAUUAGAGCAGGGAUGUAGGCAAGGCCAGGGGUACAUGGUAACACCGGUUCAUUCCGGGCUCCCAGGGAUGAACAGGCCUCCCCCGAUCCCAUUCACUCCAGCACCUCCUCUCUUCUCCAGUGGGUGAUCAUGACAAGAUGGGAAUGGGGUUAGCGGGGACACAGUAAGGCCAAUGCUUCCCGGAGCCCUAAGGCCAAAUUGGGGACGCUGUAUUCAGGAUCCUAGGAAAGUCAAGAGAGCCCAAGCACGUUGGAGAAGGUCCUUGUAAGCUGCCAGAAACAUUCUCAAAAGGGGACCCGGGAAACAAAUGCCAUGCGGUUUGAAAGGUUGUUAGGUCUGUUAAACACUUCCACAACGGACGCUUUACCAGAGGCCGGUCGGGAGUAUUUGCUUACGUGUCAUCUCUGACUGCUUUCACGCUGCUACGGCGUGAACGGAGACCAUGAUACCUAUGAGUGUUUUCCACCUGGCCCUUUACAGGAAGAGCUAGCCAAUCCCUGCAUCGUGCCAUGACCAGAAUGCCCUAAUACUGACUGCUCAUCUUCUGACUCCCCUGCUCAAAAGCUUCCCAUGAAUCUCUGCAGGAAACCUGGUUGGCUCCCUAUCCACAGCCAUUGUUUCUUCUCACUGGAGAAACACAAUUUUAUUUGGA
rnacentral:lncRNA from 1 species